GACGUGCUAAUCUGCGAUAAGCGUCGGUAAGGUGAUAUGAACCGUUAUAACCGGCGAUUUCCGAAUGGGGAAACCCAGUGUGAUUCGUCACACUAUCAUUAACUGAAUCCAUAGGUUAAUGAGGCGAACCGGGGGAACUGAAACAUCUAAGUACCCCGAGGAAAAGAAAUCAACCGAGAUUCCCCCAGUAGCGGCGAGCGAACGGGGAGCAGCCCAGAGCCUGAAUCAGUGUGUGUGUUAGUGGAAGCGUCUGGAAAGGCGUGCGAUACAGGGUGACAGCCCCGUACACAAAAAUGCACAUACUGUGAGCUCGAUGAGUAGGGCGGGACACGUGGUAUCCUGUCUGAAUAUGGGGGGACCAUCCUCCAAGGCUAAAUACUCCUGACUGACCGAUAGUGAACCAGUACCGUGAGGGAAAGGCGAAAAGAACCCCGGCGAGGGGAGUGAAAAAGAACCUGAAACCGUGUACGUACAAGCAGUGGGAGCACGCUUAGGCGUGUGACUGCGUACCUUUUGUAUAAUGGGUCAGCGACUUAUAUUCUGUAGCAAGGUUAACCGAAUAGGGGAGCCGAAGGGAAACCGAGUCUUAACUGGGCGUUAAGUUGCAGGGUAUAGACCCGAAACCCGGUGAUCUAGCCAUGGGCAGGUUGAAGGUUGGGUAACACUAACUGGAGGACCGAACCGACUAAUGUUGAAAAAUUAGCGGAUGACUUGUGGCUGGGGGUGAAAGGCCAAUCAAACCGGGAGAUAGCUGGUUCUCCCCGAAAGCUAUUUAGGUAGCGCCUCGUGAAUUCAUCUCCGGGGGUAGAGCACUGUUUCGGCAAGGGGGUCAUCCCGACUUACCAACCCGAUGCAAACUGCGAAUACCGGAGAAUGUUAUUACGGGAGACACACGGCGGGUGCUAACGUCCGUCGUGAAGAGGGAAACAACCCAGACCGCCAGCUAAGGUCCCAAAGUCAUGGUUAAGUGGGAAACGAUGUGGGAAGGCCCAGACAGCCAGGAUGUUGGCUUAGAAGCAGCCAUCAUUUAAAGAAAGCGUAAUAGCUCACUGGUCGAGUCGGCCUGCGCGGAAGAUGUAACGGGGCUAAACCAUGCACCGAAGCUGCGGCAGCGACGCUUAUGCGUUGUUGGGUAGGGGAGCGUUCUGUAAGCCUGUGAAGGUGUGCUGUGAGGUAUGCUGGAGGUAUCAGAAGUGCGAAUGCUGACAUAAGUAACGAUAAAGCGGGUGAAAAGCCCGCUCGCCGGAAGACCAAGGGUUCCUGUCCAACGUUAAUCGGGGCAGGGUGAGUCGACCCCUAAGGCGAGGCCGAAAGGCGUAGUCGAUGGGAAACAGGUUAAUAUUCCUGUACUUGGUGUUACUGCGAAGGGGGGACGGAGAAGGCUAUGUUGGCCGGGCGACGGUUGUCCCGGUUUAAGCGUGUAGGCUGGUUUUCCAGGCAAAUCCGGAAAAUCAAGGCCGAGGCGUGAUGACGAGGCACUACGGUGCUGAAGCAACAAAUGCCCUGCUUCCAGGAAAAGCCUCUAAGCAUCAGGUAACAUCAAAUCGUACCCCAAACCGACACAGGUGGUCAGGUAGAGAAUACCAAGGCGCUUGAGAGAACUCGGGUGAAGGAACUAGGCAAAAUGGUGCCGUAACUUCGGGAGAAGGCACGCUGAUACGUAGGUGAAGCGACUUGCUCGUGGAGCUGAAAUCAGUCGAAGAUACCAGCUGGCUGCAACUGUUUAUUAAAAACACAGCACUGUGCAAACACGAAAGUGGACGUAUACGGUGUGACGCCUGCCCGGUGCCGGAAGGUUAAUUGAUGGGGUUAGCGCAAGCGAAGCUCUUGAUCGAAGCCCCGGUAAACGGCGGCCGUAACUAUAACGGUCCUAAGGUAGCGAAAUUCCUUGUCGGGUAAGUUCCGACCUGCACGAAUGGCGUAAUGAUGGCCAGGCUGUCUCCACCCGAGACUCAGUGAAAUUGAACUCGCUGUGAAGAUGCAGUGUACCCGCGGCAAGACGGAAAGACCCCGUGAACCUUUACUAUAGCUUGACACUGAACAUUGAGCCUUGAUGUGUAGGAUAGGUGGGAGGCUUUGAAGUGUGGACGCCAGUCUGCAUGGAGCCGACCUUGAAAUACCACCCUUUAAUGUUUGAUGUUCUAACGUGGACCCGUGAUCCGGGUUGCGGACAGUGUCUGGUGGGUAGUUUGACUGGGGCGGUCUCCUCCUAAAGAGUAACGGAGGAGCACGAAGGUUGGCUAAUCCUGGUCGGACAUCAGGAGGUUAGUGCAAUGGCAUAAGCCAGCUUGACUGCGAGCGUGACGGCGCGAGCAGGUGCGAAAGCAGGUCAUAGUGAUCCGGUGGUUCUGAAUGGAAGGGCCAUCGCUCAACGGAUAAAAGGUACUCCGGGGAUAACAGGCUGAUACCGCCCAAGAGUUCAUAUCGACGGCGGUGUUUGGCACCUCGAUGUCGGCUCAUCACAUCCUGGGGCUGAAGUAGGUCCCAAGGGUAUGGCUGUUCGCCAUUUAAAGUGGUACGCGAGCUGGGUUUAGAACGUCGUGAGACAGUUCGGUCCCUAUCUGCCGUGGGCGCUGGAGAACUGAGGGGGGCUGCUCCUAGUACGAGAGGACCGGAGUGGACGCAUCACUGGUGUUCGGGUUGUCAUGCCAAUGGCACUGCCCGGUAGCUAAAUGCGGAAGAGAUAAGUGCUGA
rnacentral:rRNA from 1 species